CGAGAGAGCAAGUGAACUGGAGA
rnacentral:miRNA from 1 species